UGGCCCUCUUCAUGCAACAGGAGUGGCAGCGCUACCUGGACGGCCUGGUCCAUGAGCGGUUCAGAGAGAUGGAGAGGAGACUCCAGCAUCGUAAGACCAUGGUGCUGAACCACGCCCAGCAGCUGGAGAGGCAGUGGAUCCUCAGGGAAACUUCCCAGCCCGUAAAGUUUUACCAUCUACUGCUGAUGGAUCCACUAGAUGGCAGGAUUGGGAUCAAGAGAAUGAGGAAGCUUGAUUUGGCCAAGACCCGUGGGGAGCAGAUCAGCUGGCAGACCACCAGUAGGAGCCACUCAGGCAGAGAGCUGAGAAGAGGAAGAAGACAGGAGAGAAAACACAUGACCCCUUCAGACUGUGAGGAGGAGAGCACCAAUCAGGAUCAGGGAGAGGAGCAAGAGUGGUGGAGGAAGAAAGAGAGGAAAAGAGAGAUGGAAAAGAAGAAACAAAGGGGAGGUAGUGAGUUACAGGGAGAAACUAAGAGAGGAGAUCAGACUGCUGGAGAAAGAGAAGGCGAUGAAGGCAGUGAUAGGGGGAAAGAAGACAUGGUGUCAGGGAGAAAUAGAUGACAUGAAUGAAGAAAACAAUGGAAUUGAGAUAGGAAAUGUAGACAUCAGGCAGGACAGAGCAGAGGGAAAGAGGAUGGAGACAGAAGGACUGAUUGAGACAAACACAAACCCGGAAGAGAUGGAGAGAGAAAUUGAACAACAACAUCUGGAGACCGCAGAAAAUAUAUAUUGUGGCCGAUCAACUUAGUCCUGCCAAUUCCUACAUAGAAAGUGUGGAAGGAAACUCUGGAAAUUUGCAGUG
ensembl:lncRNA